rnacentral:rRNA from 1 species
GAUGAACGCUGGCGGCGUGCCUAAUACAUGCAAGUCGAGCGAACGGACGAGAAGCUUGCUUCUCUGAUGUUAGCGGCGGACGGGUGAGUAACACGUGGAUAACCUACCUAUAAGACUGGGAUAACUUCGGGAAACCGGAGCUAAUACCGGAUGAUAUUCUGAACCGCAUGGUUCAAAAGUGAAAGACGGUCUUGCUGUCACUUAUAGAUGGAUCCGCGCUGCAUUAGCUAGUUGGUAAGGUAACGGCUUACCAAGGCAACGAUGCAUAGCCGACCUGAGAGGGUGAUCGGCCACACUGGAACUGAGACACGGUCCAGACUCCUACGGGAGGCAGCAGUAGGGAAUCUUCCGCAGUGGGCGAAAGCCUGACGGAGCAACGCCGCGUGAGUGAUGAAGGUCUUCGGAUCGUAAAACUCUGUUAUUAGGGAAGAACAUAUGUGUAAGUAACUGUGCACAUCUUGACGGUACCUAAUCAGAAAGCCACGGCUAACUACGUG